rnacentral:tRNA from 1 species
GCUUCGGUAGUCUAAUUGGCUAGGACACUUGCGCGUAAAGCAAAGUAUCCGGGUUCGAUUCCCGAUCGAGAUA